AACGAACGCUGGCGGCAGGCUUAACACAUGCCAGUCGAGCGCCCCGCAAGGGGAGCGGCCGACGGGUGGGUAACGCGUGGGAACGUACCUUUUGGUUCGGAACAACUCCGGGAAACUGGAGCUAAUACCGGAUAAGCCCUAACGGGGAAAGAUUUAUCGCCGAACGCUCGGCCCGCGUCUGAUUAGCUAGUUGGUGGGGUAACGGCUCACCAAGGCGACGAGCAGUAGCUGGUCUGAGAGGAUGAUCAGCCACACUGGGACUGCGACACGGCCCAGACUCCUACGGGAGGCAGCAGUGGGGAAUAUUGUACAAUGGGCGCAAGCCUGAUCAAGCCAUGCCGCGUGAGUGAUGAAGGCCUUAGGGUUGUAAAGCUCUUUUGUCCGGGAAGAUAAUGACUGUACCGGAAGAAUAAGCCCCGGCUAACUUCGUG
rnacentral:rRNA from 1 species